UGCUGCAAUCCCAUGACGAUGCCUAGAAUCACAGAUGUUUGGUCUGGCUUUCUGUUUCACCUCUCCUAUAUGGCAGCUCAUUGUUGGACCUCCUUUUCUUCUUCCUGUCUGCAUAGGAAAAGAAUGUCCCCCUCGCUAUAAAUGAAACAGAGAAGACCAAGAUGAAGAGGAAGAUGAGCGCAGUGCAGCAUGCCGAGGCACCGGGGACUCAGCAGGGACUCAGGAGAAGAGAGACCCUGUGGAAACAGGACGAGCUGUCCUAUGAGAGGUCUCCGGAGAGCCUGGAAAGCUAAAUACUUGAUUUUUCUAGACACCUGCCAUAGAGUGGCCAUAGGACCCUGUUGUGGCCAACAGGACGUAAGCGGAGAUCUACUUGGGAAGGCUUUCACUCUUGGAAAGAAGAAGGGAUUUUGCCCUCUGCCUUCUUCCUACAUGGAAAACAGAUGUCUGGAAGUGCAGCAGCUAUCUUGCCUUUCACAUGCAUAUUCUGCUUUCCAGAUUCUCUGGAAGAAUCCGAGGCUCUGUGGGUGACAGGCUGCCUUUCCUCACAGGAAGCCGUCAGUGUGAGAAGGAGCUGCCCCUUCAGAAGGCGCUCCCCAUCCAGUCCCCUGCUGGCUGCUUCCAGUCCCUCAGACACAGGCCUGCUUUGACACGCAUCAGAGGCUUAUGAAUUCCAUUCAGUGGAUCACAGCCAGGAUUUAAGAAAAAAAUGAAAUGGAAUUAGAUUGAACAUAUCAGGUUGACUAUAUUGCAUGUAGCAAGGCUAAGUAUUGCUUUCUGCAACUUUUAAUUCAGAUAUUUCCAUGGCCUCAGACAUGUGUACUGAGUCGCGGUGUAAAUCUAUUUCUUACUCUGGGUCCUUAGCCUCUUGGUCUCUAUCUCUUUAAAAGGCCUCCCAAUCCCAAAGGAAGAAAAAGUGGGAGUGGGCAGGGGUGGUUGCCCACUGUUCUGGAAGACCUUAGAGAUGAAGGGCUGCAGUGGCUUUGUCCAAUAGCUUCCUGCCUCCAUUCUCUGGUCUUAUUCCUCUGGGGUUCCAAUGAAUAAAGGAUUGUUUUCAAAAACGGAGGUCUGCUACACUCUGGAAGGGAUCUCCACCAGUCUUCUCCGUUAGAGCAGUUUUACCCUGUGUACUCUCUUUAAACUCUUCCAGAUGUUAAUGGUCAUUACUUGAAAUAAGCCUUGUGCUCUGGCAAGUUUGGGCAGUGCUGGACUACAUGAAAUAAAUGGGUUUCUUAUCUGCAGGAUUUCUCAGACACUCCAGGAGUUCUUGACAUAGUGUUCUCUAGAAAAUACUUUGGGAAAUGCAUGAUUAGAGGUAAAACCUGGAGGUGCUUCAGAAUUUGAAAGUUUAAUUUAGGCUGGAAUCUUGAAAGGAACCUGCAGAAAACUUGACUUUACUCCUUCCCACCUUACCCAGUGAAUAAUCCCUCAUCAUUGACGUCAUUCACGAAAUACACAGGCUAUUUAGACAUUGAUUCUGCCCUCCACAAGCUAACAGUCUACAGUGCGUAAGAUGGAGACACACAUGACUGUAACACCUUGUCUCCAAGGGAAAGAAAGGUAAAGAGACAGGGUUCAGACACAGGGUUCCU
rnacentral:lncRNA from 10 species